CGGGAACGCCUGUGAGGGGCGGGACUGUAAGAGAGGACAUGACGGAGGCGGCCAUGUUCUGAUAAGAGCGUCUCCAUCCAUAUGUGAACCGGAGAGGUCAUCAGAUGCCUGAAAAUGUGCUUUACGUUCUCCACUGCAACAACAACAACAACAAGCCAAAGUGCACUUCAUGCAGGUUGUUUUCUUACAGGAAGAUGAACUUCUCCUCCACGUCAAGGAUUAUCCUGAUCCACUUCUCUGUGUCUACAGAAGAAAGUAGACACAGCAUGAUGCUGCCACCACUGUGUUUCAGCAAAUCAGCUGAGUUAAUUUAUAUUAACUCUGAAACAAGAAUUUCAGUCUCUAAAUAUACAAAACUAAUAAGGUUUUCAGCUGUUGCUGCAUCAUAUGUGCUCCUCUUUUUCAGAUGUGUAACCAUGCACAUUUUACACUUAAGUUUAGCACAGAAAACCACAGUAGAGCAAAUUAAAUUUGUGAUAAUUAUGUGACAAAAUGGGAAAAGCAUAACUAUUUUAGCAAGUGAAGAAAAAUGUCAUAAUGCACCUGAAACAAAUAUUUAUUUCUACAUAUGAAAGAGCUUUUAAACUGAUCUGACAAGACAUAAAUCAUUCAUAAAUUGAUUUAUAAAGUUGUUUUUACUUUAAUGUCUGAAGAUCUGGAUUAAUCUGGUGAGAAAUUACAUGUGUACAUUGAUGCCUCCUUGGUUGAUCAAAUGGAAACUUUUGUUUUAUCACCAUUAUUUUUAACUUUUCAGUCCUUGUAAAUGUUUACAUUUCCACUCUGGUCUGCUAAGAGAAAAUUGUUCCCAUUUUAUUUAACAGCAGACAGACAUACCUAUAUAAAAACACUAAGCUAUCAUUAGUGUUUAACUUUCUCCCUUUUGUUUAAAAAACAAACUGAAGACUCUUUAUUAUUAAGAUUUUAAUUCAAAAAGGCUUAAAAACAACAAACUGAUUAAAUGUUGUACUUUUCACAAUCCUAGCUUGGUUUUGGUCAUUAUUCUUUCUGAUUGUUGUGUUAUGAAGCACGUCUUUACUUUUAUCUGAUGACAACAAAUGAACUCGUCUUAAAUCAGAGACAAAAAUAAAAUAAUGAAUAUUUAAAGGAGUUUAAAGGGGAAUCAUGACACUGACAGCUGAAGUUUCAUUUCAUUCUAUUAUUAUAUCCAAAAUGCAAAAUCAGAAUAUUUGAACUUGAAUGUGUUGCAGUUUUGCUUUGUGUGUGCUGUCAGGUCUCUUCUACCCAUUUCCAUGAUGUGUUGUCAUGUUUUAUAGUUAAUAACUGCAGACUCUGAACGUGGGGAAAGAGCAGAGCAAUUUAAUAAUAAUUAAAAAAGGAGAAUUUACAGAGAAGGAUAUGGAGGAAUCAGGAAUGAGCCAUGAAAACAAGGGAGCCUAUAUUCUGCAGGAGGAGUGGAGGAUGAUCUUAAAUAUUAGACACAUGUGAGGAAACUAGGGGGGUAAAGAACAGCUGUGCAGGGGAGCAAAACAGAGAGACUGAGAGAAGAUGAAGAAACAAAACUAGACACAAAGAAAACUACUAACCAAGAGGGAAAUAUACUAACACUGACCUGAAGGACAAAAUGAAACAGUAGUGGCUUCAAGAAGCUUUUCUACAGCUAUCGACACAACAAUGUCAAAACAUGACUUAUUGAAAUACAGAUAUAGAGAUUGGUUACACAACAUACAUGGAUCUAGUGAGAUUGGAAAGAGCAUGAUUUUUUUAUUGUUUGUGACAUAUAUGGUGUUUUUACACUUGUUUUAGGUUAUGUGUGUAUGUAAUACUUUUAUAAUGUUCUUAUAAGGAACACUGUCUGGCUAUGGACUACUUCCUUAAAGGACAGUGGGAUUAAGUGAGUUUCAACUUCAUCCUUCUACUUUUCUUAGUAAAUAAACUGCUUGGAAUAUAUGAUUGUGGAAAUCGAUCAAGCAACCAAUUGACCAAUCGACCAA